rnacentral:rRNA from 1 species
CCUACGGGUGGCAGCAGUGAGGAAUAUUGGUCAAUGGGCUAAAGCCUGAACCAGCCAAGUCGCGUGAAGGAAGACGGUCCUAUGGAUUGUAAACCUCUUUUGUCGGGGAGCAACGAGGCCACGUGUGACCGCUGUGAGAGUACCCGAAGAAAAAGCAUCGGCUAACUCCGUGCCAGCAGCCGCGGUAAUACGGAAGGUGCGGGCGUUAUCCGGAUUUAUUGGGUUUAAAGGGUGCGUAGGCCGAACAUCAAGUCUGCGGUGAAAUGUCGGGGCUCAACCCCGGUGAUGCAGCGCGAACUGGCGUGCGUGAGUGCGCGGAAAGCAGGCGGAAUUCGUGGUGUAGCGGUGAAAUGCUUAGAUAUGACGAAGAACCCCGAUUGCGAAGGCAGCUUGCUGGAGCGGGACUGACGCUGAGGCACGAAAGCGCGGGGAUCGAACAGGAUUAGAUACCCGUGUAGUC